UUUUAUGACUUAAAAAAGCCCACAGGCUGGUCUGAAGAGGAAGACAAACAUAAAGAUGAAGUGCUUAAUUCAAGGUCACACAAUGUCGGGGAUGGACCUCCAGAUUUCCUUACUGACCUGCAUUAUCUUGUGGAUACCUGAGUGAAUUCCACACCACCCAUUUUAUAGAUGAAACCACUGAGACAUGGAGCAAUUGACUGAGUAGUCACUGCCCCACCCCUGCCUGGAGCCUCACACAUGACUCGCCUCCUCUCAGUGACCACAGGAAAACAAGCUCAGGGCUCCCACUGAUUGUACAUUAUGAGACGGAGUCUUGCUAUGUUGCCCAGGCUGGUCUUGAACUCCUCACCUCAAGCGAUCCUCCCGUCUUGGCCUCCCAAGUGUCAGGAUUACGGGCAUGUGCUAUCACACCCAACCUGAUACAUUGCCUUUAUAAAUUUUUUUUUCUUUAUUCUAAAAACCAGAAAAAACAAAACUGGAUACAUGUGCAGAACAUGCAGACCAAGUGUGUUGGGGACUUGAGAUGCGUACAUGAGUGUGAUGUUUCCUGCUGAAAGCACAGGUGAGACGUGGUCUUGUAACACAGUGGUUAAGAAUGUGACUUUGGAGCCAGCCUGCUAGGGGCUGAAUUCUGACUCAGCCAUUUACUAACUGUGUGACCUUAGGCUGGAGUGCAAUGGCAUGAUCUCGGCUCAUCACAACCUCUGCUUCCUGGGUUCAAGCGAUUCUCCUGCCUCAGCCUCCCGAGUACCUGGGACUACAGGCACUCGCCACCAUG
rnacentral:lncRNA from 10 species